rnacentral:misc_RNA from 1 species
UUUCCGUAGGUGAACCUGCGGAAGGAUCAUUAAUGUGUUUGGGCCUCACGGCUCUUCAUUCCGACGCUGUGCGCCUUCGGGCUGCACACUGAGGGAGCAUAUAUCCACCCCUGUGCACACACACGGUGGCGAGCUGGGUAACGGCUCGCCGCUGAUCUUUACACACGUCUAAAAGUCAUUGUAUGCUUAUUUGAGAUAAAAACACAACUUUCAGCAACGGAUCUCUUGGCUCUC